CCUACGGGUGGCAGCAGUGAGGAAUAUUGCUCAAUGGGCGCGAGCCUGAUCCAGCCAAGUCGCGUGAAGGAUGACGGCCCUACGGGUUUUAACCUUUUUUUGUCAGGGAGCAAUUGGGUCCACGCGUGAGCUUAGCGAGUGUACCUGCCGAAAAAGCAUCGGCAAACUCCGUGCCAGCAGCCGCGGUAAGACGGAGGAUGGGAGCGUUAUACGGAUUUAUUGGGUUAAAAGGGUGCGUAGGCGGACAAUGAAGUCAGCGGGAACAAUGCGGGGCUCAACCCCGUCGUGCCGUUGAUACUGGUGUGCUAGAGUGGGCUAGAGGUAUGCGGAAUGCGUGGUGUAGCGGUGAAAUGCAUAGAUAUCACGCAGAACUCUGAUUGCGAAGGCAGCAUACCGGCGCCCAACUGACGCUGAAGCACGAAAGCGUGGGGAGCGAACAGGAUUAGAUACCCUAGUAGUC
rnacentral:rRNA from 1 species